rnacentral:sRNA from 1 species
UUUCCGUAGGUGAACCUGCGGAAGGAUCAUUAUUGAAACAUUGUGAAGGAGGUUGAGCUGGCUUUUGCAAGUGCUCACCUUCUUUCAAUCUUCAUCCACCUGUGCACCCUUUGUAGGGAUAUAGAAGUCUGGAACGGUGUAAAAGCCAAGUACGGGUCUCUAUUCUCUAUGUUUUUACACACACUUAACGUAUGUUUAUGAAUGUCUACUAGGGACUUAAUUGACCCUAUAAAAGUUAAUACAACUUUCAGCAACGGAUCUCUUGGCUCUCGCAUCGAUGAAGAACGCAGCGAAAUGCGAUAAGUAAUGUGAAUUGCAGAAUUCAGUGAAUCAUCGAAUCUUUGAACGCACCUUGCGCCCCUUGGUAUUCCGAGGGGCAUGCCUGUUUGAGUGUCAUUAAAUUCUCAACCUCAUAAGCUUUUGCUUAUUGAGGAUUGGAUGUGAGGGUUGCUGGCUUGUAACAGAGUCAGCUCCCUUGAAAUGCAUUAGUGGAUUCAACCAGUUGUAGACCACAUUGGUGUGAUAAUUAUCUACGCCAUUGACUAAGUGUCUGCAGUUUGGAAGGUUGCAAUGUAACAGUUGCUCUUUCUGCUCCAAGUGUUGUCCGCUUCAAACCGUCCUAAGUUACUGGACAACUUGACCU